UCUCCGUUGGUGAACCAGCGGAGGGAUCAUUACCGAGUUUACAACUCCCAAACCCCUGUGAACAUACCUGUUUUGUUGCUUCGGCGGUGCCCUCGCUCUCGCGGCGAGGCCCGCCAGAGGACCCAAACAAACUCUUUGGCUUUGAUCUAGGAUUAUACUUCUGAGUGAUACAAAAAAUAAAAUCAAAACUUUCAACAACGGAUCUCUUGGUUCUG
rnacentral:misc_RNA from 1 species